UAGCCUGCCCAGUGAAAUUUUAACGGCCACGGUACCCUAACCGUGCGAAGGUAGCAUAAUCACUUGUUCUUUAAAUGGGGACUCGUAUCAACGGCAUCACGAGGGUUCUACUGUCUCCUUUCUCUAAUCAGUGAAACUAAUCUCCCCGUGAAGAAGCGAGGAUAAUACUAUAAGACGAGAAGACCCCAUGGAGCUUUAAACCCAAUUAUAUUCCUAACCCCCACAACCAUUUAAUCUCUUAGGCCCAUAUACUUGGUUUUAGGUUGGGGCGACCACGGAGUAAAACCAAACCUCCAUGAUGUACGGAACAACCUCCUUAUCCAAGAGCCACAGCUCUAAGAAUUAGCACACUAUCAAAAAAUGACCCAUUAUUGAUCAACGAACCAAGUUACCCUGGGGAUAACAGCGCAAUCCAUUUUAAGAGCCCCUAUCGACAAAUGGGUUUACGACCUGGAUGUUGGAUCAGGAUAUCCCAGUGGUGCAGCAACUACUAAAGGUUCGUUUGUUCAACGAUUAAAAUCCU
rnacentral:rRNA from 1 species